rnacentral:rRNA from 1 species
GAUGAACGCUGGCGGCGUGCUUAAUACAUGCAAGUCGAGCGAACGGACGAGAAGCUUGCUUCUCUCAUGUUAGCGGCGGACGGGUGUGUAACACGUGGAUAACCUACCUAUAAUACUGGGAUAACUUCGGGACACCGGCGCUAAUACCGGAUGAUAUUUUGAACCGCAUGGUUCAAAAGUGAAAGACGGUCUUGCUGUCACUUAUAGAUGGAUCCGCGCUGCAUUAGCUAGUUGGUAAGGUAACGGCUUACCAAGGCAACGAUGCAUAGCGGACCUGAGAGGGUGAUCGGCCACGCUAGAACUGACACCCGGUCCAGACUCCUACGGGAGGCAGCAGUCGGGAGUCUUCCGGAAUGGGCGAAAGCCUGACGGAGCAACGAAGCGUGAGGGAUGAAGGUCGUGUGGUCGUAGAAGUCUGUCAUGAGGGAAGAACAUAUGUGUAAGGAAGUAUGGACUUCUUGACGGUACCUGGUCAGAAAGCAACGGCUAACUACGUG